ensembl:lncRNA
UUAAUUUAUAGUUCUCUCAAAAUUCUGAAGAAAAAAAUGAGAGAACUAAACAAUCUCAUGGAAUUUAUGAAUGGAAUGAUUCAAUGACUUACUCAAGAUUUACUUUUAUCUUAAAUUUUUGGAUGAAUCUCUUGAAUGAAUGAUUCAAAGACAAACACAUUUUUAACAGUCUCUUCACGCCACCUUAAAAUAAAAGAUGCACACACAGUAAUUGAUAGGUGUCACAGUUAUGGACUUCUGUUAUCACUUAGUUUCCUUAUUUGGUGAUGUUCCUUUUCUUGUUUAGUUAAUUAAUUAGCCCCAAACCUGUUUCUGUUUCCCACUGAUUACAUUCACUAUUUAAAGUCUGUGUUCUCCUUUAUUCCUUUGUCUGCUAUUAAUGUUUGAUGUUAGAUUAUUUGGAUUUGUGUUUGGAUGUGCCCUUUUCCUCCCGUGGAUCAUUAAAAGCCUUAUUUGUUAUCUCCUUCGUCGAGUGUUUUACUUAGCACACCAGCACGUGUGACAGAAUAUAGGACAGAAAAAGUUAAUUUAGCGGCGUUUUUCUUUCCUUUUCAUUUUGUUUUCUCCCUCUCCCAGAAUGGCAGUCCGAAUCCUGUGCCUGAAGCAACAGGACCAUUCGCUGGAGGACCACACCAGAGACUUUCUCGAUCUGGCGUGCCUUACAGACUUCCCUAACCGCUUGCUCUGUGCUUUCUACUAUGCUGGCCUGAGCGAGCAGUGUAAGGCACACCUACCAGCGAACGGUCCCAGGGAGGAUUUCGCCGCUUUCGUGGAGUGGGUGCUGGAGAAUAACGGAUCCCCUUUCACCGUCGGCCCUGCUGAGGAGGAUAUCUCCAGCCCCACUCCUGAACCAGAGACCAGCCAGCUGUCAUCCUGCUGCACGGAACUAAAGCCAGAGCCCACCGCAGCUGCAGAGCCCGAGCCAGAGCCCGCCGCAGAGCCCGAGCCAGCCAUGAUAAUUGAGCCAAUCAUUGUCCCGGAGCUUGGACUCGAGAGCGCGACUGACCAGGUGUGUGAGCCGGCAACAUUGUGUGUCGUGGGAUUACUGGUGGAGAUCAAGGGUGUGGAGGAGAGCCCUGUCCACACUCCUGCGACUGAGGCCUCUUGCUCCCGCCUCCUCCUAGACCAGUCAGUUCCUCUGCUCCAUCUCCGCUGGUGCCUGUCAGUACUUCGGAUCACCCUCAGUCAGCGCCAUCUGGGCGCUCUGGUCUGCCUCGGGACUUCCAGUCUCCAGCUCCGCCUGGCGUGAGGAUCACCUGUCUCCGCUUCCAGCCUUUGAGUCCUGGACUGCACCUCUGUCCUUCGACCCAUUGGCUCCACCUUGGCUCUUAUCUCACCUCGUCUCCACCGUGGGUCAUCAUCCUGGCUGGCCUCUGGAUGUCCAUCUGGCUCCUCCUGCUCCGGGCUCCUUCCUGGCUCCUCCAUCCACUCCACCCUGGUACUAUGGUCUAUGCUCCCUCUCCAUUGCCUGCCCCACGCCUACCUCCUGAACCCCCACCCUCCCUCCUCUGGACUAUUUCUGUCGGUGCGAGGAUGCACCGUUCCGGGAGGGGGUGAACUGUCACAGUUAUGGACUUCUGUUACCACUUAGUUUCCUUAUUUGGUCAUGUUCCUUUUCUUGUUUAGUUAAUUAAUUAGCCCCACACCUGUUUCUGUUUCCCACUGAUUACGUUCACUAUUUAAAGUCUGUGUUCUCCUUUAUUCCUUUGUCCGCUAUUAAUGUUUGAUUAUUUGGAUUUCUGUUUGGAUGUGCCCUUUUCCUCCUGUGGUUUAUUAAAAGCCUUAUUUUUUUUUAUCUCCUUCGAGCGUUUUACUUCGCACACCAGCAUGUGUGACAAUAGGUGGAAUUGAAAUGUUAAUUGUACAACAAGUAUCCGAUUCCUGACCUGUGGGAAGUUGUGGCCUAAUGGUUAGAGAGUCGGACUCCCAAUCGAAGGGUUGUGAGUUCGAGUCUCGGGCCGGCAGGAAUUGUGGGUGGGGGGAGUGCAUGUACAGUUCUCUCUCCACCUUCAAUACCAUGACUUAGGUGCCCUUGAGCAAGGCAUCGAACCCCCAACUGCUCCCCGGGCGCCGCAGCAUAAAAUGGCUGUCCACUGCUCUGGGUGUGUGUUCACAGUGUGUGUGUGUGUGUUCACUGCUCUGUGUGUGUGCACUUCGGAUGGGUUAAAUGCAGAGCACGAAUUCUGAGUAUGGGUCACCAUACUUGGCUGAAUGUCACGUCACUUUCACUUUAAGUAUCCGAUUUUGAAAUUGUAAUUGAUUUUCAAUUUCCAACCCUAUUCAUGUCUCUCUCUCUAUAUAUACAGCAGGGCUAUAUAUAUUUUUAAGAAAACGCAUGCAAAUGAGAGGUUUAGGGUUAGUAUGAUUACUUAUUUUAUUUUUAUUAUAUAUAUAUAAAAUCAAUACUUUUUUUAUUCAGCAAAGACGCAUUAUAUUUCUCAAAACAGAAGUUAAAAA